CCCGCACGCCGGAAGACCAAGGGUUCCUGUCCAACGUUAAUCGGGGCAGGGUGAGUCGACCCCUAAGGCGAGGCCGAAAGGCGUAGUCGAUGGGAAACAGGUUAAUAUUCCUGUACUUGGUGUUACUGCGAAGGGGGGACGGAGAAGGCUAUGUUAGCCGGGCGACGGUUGUCCCGGUUUAAGCAUGUAGGCGGAGAUUCCAGGUAAAUCCGGAGUCUUGUUAACGCUGAGGUGUGAUGACGAGGCACUACGGUGCUGAAGUAACAAAUGCCCUGCUUCCAGGAAAAGCCUCUAAGCAUCAGGUAACACAAAAUCGUACCCCAAACCGACACAGGUGGUCAGGUAGAGAAUACCAAGGCGCUUGAGAGAACUCGGGUGAAGGAACUAGGCAAAAUGGUGCCGUAACUUCGGGAGAAGGCACGCUGAUAUGUAGGUGAAGUGAUUUACUCAUGGAGCUGAAAUCAGUCGAAGAUACCAGCUGGCUGCAACUGUUUAUUAAAAACACAGCACUGUGCAAACACGAAAGUGGACGUAUACGGUGUGACGCCUGCCCGGUGCCGGAAGGUUAAUUGAUGGGGUUAUCCGUAAGGAGAAGCUCUUGAUCGAAGCCCCGGUAAACGGCGGCCGUAACUAUAACGGUCCUAAGGUAGCGAAAUUCCUUGUCGGGUAAGUUCCGACCUGCACGAAUGGCGUAAUGAUGGCCAGGCUGUCUCCACCCGAGACUCAGUGAAAUUGAACUCGCUGUGAAGAUGCAGUGUACCCGCGGCAAGACGGAAAGACCCCGUGAACCUUUACUAUAGCUUGACACUGAACACUGGUCCUUGAUGUGUAGGAUAGGUGGGAGGCUUUGAAGUGUGGACGCCAGUCUGCAUGGAGCCAACCUUGAAAUACCACCCUUUAAUGGCUGGUGUUCUAACGUAGACCCGUGAUCCGGGUUGCGGACAGUGUCUGGUGGGUAGUUUGACUGGGGCGGUCUCCUCCUAAAGAGUAACGGAGGAGCACGAAGGUUAGCUAAUCCUGGUCGGACAUCAGGAGGUUAGUGCAAAGGCAUAAGCUAGCUUGACUGCGAGAGUGACGGCUCGAGCAGGUGCGAAAGCAGGUCUUAGUGAUCCGGUGGUUCUGAAUGGAAGGGCCAUCGCUCAACGGAUAAAAGGUACUCCGGGGAUAACAGGCUGAUACCGCCCAAGAGUUCAUAUCGACGGCGGUGUUUGGCACCUCGAUGUCGGCUCAUCACAUCCUGGGGCUGAAGUAGGUCCCAAGGGUAUGGCUGUUCGCCAUUUAAAGUGGUACGCGAGCUGGGUUUAGAACGUCGUGAGACAGUUCGGUCCCUAUCUGCCGUGGGCGCUGGAGAAUUGAGGGGGGCUGCUCCUAGUACGAGAGGACCGGAGUGGACGCAUCACUGGUGUUCGGGUUGUCAUGCCAAUGGCAUUGCCCGGUAGCUAAAUGCGGAAGAGAUAAGUGCUGAAAGCAUCUAAGCACGAAACUUGCCCCGAGAUGAGUUCUCCCUGACCCUUUAAGGGUCCUGAAGGAACGUUGAAGACGACGACGUUGAUAGGUCGGGUGUGUAAGCGUAGCGAUACGUUGAGCUAACCGAUACUAAUGAACCGUGAGGCUUAACCUU
rnacentral:rRNA from 1 species